CAGUAGCCGCGGGAAUACGUAGGUCCCGAGCGUUGUCCGGAUUUAUUGGGCGUAAAGCGAGCGCAGGCGGUUAGAUAAAUCUGAAGUUAAAGGCUGUGGCUUAACCAUAGUACGCUUUGGAAACUGUUUAACUUGAGUGCAAGAGGGGAGAGUGGAAUUCCAUGUGUAGCGGUGAAACGCGUAGAUAUAUGGAGGAACACCGGUGGCGAAAGCGGCUCUCUGGCUUGUAACUGACGCUGAGGCUCGAAAGCGUGGGGAGCAAACAGGAUUAGAUACCCCAGUAGUCCCUGUCUCUUAUACC
rnacentral:rRNA from 1 species